rnacentral:misc_RNA from 1 species
GUUAUUUUUUCAACCGCUGUUUAACAGUAAUAUCAAAACAAGUUUGCGGUGAGAUAGAGAUAAUAAAAUGCAUUAUUGAUUUGAUUUGAUGAGGAUUGUACACUACAAAAACAAGAAAGAAUAGGCAAUUGAGAGGAACUGACAUAGCUUAUCAAGAAUUUCACCCAAUUGGUUUAUCUGUAUUCCCUUAAUGAUUAUGGGUGUGGCCACCCUCAAAGCUAAAACUUCAAGGUUUGGUAUAGGGAGAAAGGGAAGGAUAAGCUUUUAUUAAUAUGAAUGUUGACUCUUUGAGCAAUAUGUAGAGUUUAUUUUAUUAUUUUUUAAUGCUAUGCAUGUGGGGUCUGUCAAUAAAUUCAAAGGCUUACCCCUUUAUGGGAGUUUUGAAAUGCCAAAAGCCAAUCAUGGACAAAUGAUUUUUGACACUUUGUGGAUUCUUGUUUUAUUUACCUCUUUCACCAUGGAUCAAG